GGGUGAGUCGGGUCCUAAGGCGAGGCCGACAGGCGUAGUCGAAUGGAUGAACGGGUGGAUAUUCCCGUACCGACCAUGGACCGGCAAAACCGAGACGGUGAGUACUAACCUCCGCCUCGUGGUGGUUCCUUCCUUCGGGUUGGUUCCGCCGCGUGGUGUUGGGAGCGUAGCCGCAGUAGGUCAGCGCAGGGGUGACACGGAAUGGGAGCCGGCCGCGGAGGUGGUUUUCCGUGGUCAAGCACGCAGCCAGUCAUGUAGGCAAAUCCGCAUGGCGCGCAUGGCGAGGUGUGAUGAUGGGAGCCGUUAUGGCUCGAUAUCCGGUUGUCCAGGCCGUCGAGAAAAGCCUCGGCGUGAGGGCCAUGGCCGCCCGUACCCCAAACCGACACUGGUGGUCAGGUAGAGAAUACCAAGGCGAUCGAGCGAAUCCUGGUCAAGGAACUCGGCAAAUCACUCCCGUGCCUUCGGUAUAAGGGAGACCCGCUGGGGUGAACCGGCUAGCCCGGGGAGCUUUGGUGGGUGGCACAGACCAGGGGGUAGCGACUGUUUACCAAAAACACAGGUGCAUGCGAAGGCGAAAGCCGCUGUAUAUGCACUGACGCCUGCCCGGUGCCGGAAGGUUAAGAGGAUCCGUCAACUCUUCGGAGCGAAGCGGUGAAUUCAAGCCCCGGUAAACGGCGGUGGUAACUAUAACCAUCCUAAGGUAGCGAAAUUCCUUGUCGGGUAAGUUCCGACCUGCACGAAUGGCGUAACGACUUCCCCACUGUCUCGACCAGGAGCUCGGCGAAAUUGCAGUACGAGUAAAGAUGCUCGUUAAGCGCAGAAGGACGAAAAGACCCCGGGACCUUUACUAUACCUUGGUAUUGGCGUUAGGCGCGGAUUGUGUAGCAUAGGCGGGAGGCUUCGAAGCGUGGGCGCCAGCUCAUGUGGAGCCGCAAGGUGAAAUACCGCUCUGUUCUCGUUUGACGUCUAACCUCGACAAGUCAUCCUUGUCAGGGACAGUGCCUGGCGGGUAGUUCAACUGGGGCGGUUGCCUCCCAAAGAGUAACGGAGGCGCUCAAAGGUCCGCUCAGCCCGGUUGGCAAUCGGGUGUCGAGUGUAAUCGCACAAGCGGGCUUGACUGCGAGAUCGACGGAUCGAGCAGGGACGAAAGUCGGAGAUAGUGAUCCGGUGCCGGCGCACGGGCGCGGCAUCGCUCAACGGAUAAAAGGUACCCCGGGGAUAACAGGCUGAUCAUUCC
rnacentral:rRNA from 1 species